ACCGCAUAACGUCGCAAGACCAAAGAGGGGGACCUUCGGGCCUCUUGCCAUCGGAUGUGCCCAGAUGGGAUUAGCUAGUAGGUGGGGUAACGGCUCACCUAGGCGACGAUCCCUAGCUGGUCUGAGAGGAUGACCAGCCACACUGGAACUGAGACACGGUCCAGACUCCUACGGGAGGCAGCAGUGGGGAAUAUUGCACAAUGGGCGCAAGCCUGAUGCAGCCAUGCCGCGUGUAUGAAGAAGGCCUUCGGGUUGUAAAGUACUUUCAGCGGGGAGGAAGGCGAUGAGGUUAAUAACCUUGUCGAUUGACGUUACCCGCAGAAGAAGCACCGGCUAACUCCGUGCCAGCAGCCGCGGUAAUACGGAGGGUGCAAGCGUUAAUCGGAAUUACUGGGCGUAAAGCGCACGCAGGCGGUCUGUCAAGUCGGAUGUGAAAUCCCCGGGCUCAACCUGGGAACUGCAU
rnacentral:rRNA from 1 species